ACUUGACGAGUCCACGGAAUAUAGACUGAAGUAAUUUCUAAAGGACAUUGGUUUUCUAAGAUGAUUGUUGAUUAUGACCAGAGGGGUGGAAAAAAACAUCACGAGCUCGAAGAUAGCGAAAGUUCUAUUCUACUACCAAAGGAUGCCGCUAAUAUCGAAGUUAGCUUCAAAGUCAUGCGCGGGCCUGGUGUUUGGUGUGAUGUAAAAAAGUACGACCGUUUCGAAAAAUAUUGGGUAAAACCAUCCCAGCCUCAUAUCUUCAAGUACAGAUCACCAGUGACACGCACGUACACUUUGGCUGGAGGCUUGUAUUAUGAAGCUGUGAUGAAGAUCACAGAUGAUCAUUUUGAUGAUGUGAACGAAUUUUGAAAGGAUUUACCAGACUAAUUAAGAAAUAGGAUUUGACGAAAUUAAGAAUGUCACAGUUGAUAAAAAAGAUAGCUGAUCUCUGUAAUUAGUUACGAUGACUUUUUACACUUUAAGGUAAACACCCAGCACACAAACUAGCUGUAAACGAGUCCUUUAGUCUUAUAGGCAAUUCCCAUUAUAAAGUUUAUCCACAGCAAUUUCUUUCACAGGUAUAUUAUUCCUUGUAGAACGAGACAGUCAUUUUAUACACAAUAUUGCAUUGUCUGUAAUAUAAUCUAUAAACACUGCAAUAAACACUGCAGGAUGGUUUUCUGUUUUGACAACACUUCUGAGUGCUGAUUGGCUAAAUAUGCCGCGCGAGAUCACCUGGAAACUAGUAUGAAACCGAAAGUGAUAUAUCAUUUCAACAAACAUUGAAAUUUUAAUUUUUCUUAAUUUGACCAACGUAUGCCGCAAAGCAUACUGUAGACAAUGGAAGUCUAUAUUUGUUGAAAAAGACUCUGAUCCUUUAUUGGAAUGUUAACAAUUUGAACAAAGAAAACUCUGUCAGAGCUAGACAUCACGGCGGAGGCUUAACAAGGAGGUUAACACAACGACUUUGAUGUCUCUAACGUGAACUCAGAUUUUAUAUAUACUACACUGGAUUCGCUGAUUACGACGUCACAUAACUUUCCUAAAACAUCUUCGAGAUAAAAGUUCACAUUCAAAUGAGAUUUGGUUAACACAACGACUUUGAUGUCUCUAACGUGAACUCAGAUUUUAUAUAUACUACACUUGGAUUCGCUGAUUACGACGUCACAUAACUUUCCUAAAACAUCUUCGAGAUAAAAGAAACCAAAUCAUAAUAGAAACCAAAGCAGUCAGUAUUAUUAUUUGACUUCAUAUAAUGGCCCAGGUAUGGAUGGAUUAUAUGGAUCAUAUAUAAAAUUGGAUCGUGUGUACAUUUUCCUACAAUGAAUUGCAAGAUAAAACCCAAAUGACUGGAGAAAUAUGUAAA
rnacentral:misc_RNA from 1 species